rnacentral:rRNA from 1 species
AACGAACGCUGGCGGCAUGCCUAAUACAUGCAAGUCGAACGAGAUCUUCGGAUCUAGUGGCGCACGGGUGCGUAACGCGUGGGAAUCUACCCUUAGGUUCGGAAUAACAUCGGGAAACUGAUGCUAAUACCGGAUGAUGACGUAAGUCCAAAGAUUUAUCGCCUGAGGAUGAGCCCGCGUAGGAUUAGCUAGUUGGUAGGGUAAAGGCUUACCAAGGCGACGAUCCUUAGCUGGUCUGAGAGGAUGAUCAGCCACACUGGGACUGAGACACGGCCCAGACUCCUACGGGAGGCAGCAGUAGGGAAUAUUGGACAAUGGGGGCAACCCUGAUCCAGCAAUGCCGCGUGAGUGAUGAAGGCCUUAGGGUUGUAAAGCUCUUUUACCCGGGAUGAUAAUGACAGUACCGGGAGAAUAAGCCCCGGCUAACUCCGUGCCAGCCGCCGCCGUAA